CCUUCGGGGUGGAUUAGUGGCGAACGGGUGAGUAACACGUGGGCAAUCUGCCCUGCACUCUGGGACAAGCCCUGGAAACGGGGUCUAAUACCGGAUAUGACCCUCUUGGGCAUCCUUGAUGGUGUAAAGCUCCGGCGGUGCAGGAUGAGCCCGCGGCCUAUCAGCUUGUUGGUGAGGUAAUGGCUCACCAAGGCGACGACGGGUAGCCGGCCUGAGAGGGCGACCGGCCACACUGGGACUGAGACACGGCCCAGACUCCUACGGGAGGCAGCAGUGGGGAAUAUUGCACAAUGGGCGAAAGCCUGAUGCAGCGACGCCGCGUGAGGGAUGACGGCCUUCGGGUUGUAAACCUCUUUCAGCAGGGAAGAAGCGAAAGUGACGGUACCUGCAGAAGAAGCGCCGGCUAACUACGUGCCAGCAGCCGCGGUAAUACGUAGGGCGCAAGCGUUGUCCGGAAUUAUUGGGCGUAAAGAGCUCGUAGGCGGCUUGUCACGUCGAUUGUGAAAGCUCGGGGCUUAACCCCGAGUCUGCAGUCGAUACGGGCUAGCUAGAGUGUGGUAGGGGAGAUCGGAAUUCCUGGUGUAGCGGUGAAAUGCGCAGAUAUCAGGAG
rnacentral:rRNA from 1 species